CUGCUGCUGCUGUUUCAGGCUUCCCCACAUCAACCAGAAUUUGAUCCCAUUCCUCAAAUAGUAAAUGAUCUUGUCCAUUUUCCAGGCUUGGGAUGAGCUCAACUGGACAGCAGGGCUGAUGUCUUUUCUCACACCAUCCACCCUCAGAGCCAGCAUGUGAUGAUCCAUCACCUCAUUGAGGAUUUAAACAGGGUCUUUGCAGUAAAGCUUGCAGAACCUAAUCAUCUGGGAAACAAACAGAUGUCUCUUUCAACAUUUAUGCAUGGCUUGGUGGGAGUUUUUCUUGGCAGCUGAAAAUACAGCCUUCAUGUCUUCAAUAGAUGAGCAUCCUCUAGCACAUUCGAGGCAGGAACCAAGUUACCAAAGCUUCCCACUUGCAGUGAAUAUGAAGUUCCAAUGAUGGAAGCCCACCCUGGGCCAGACACCUGUUCUCAAUUUCCAAAUACCGUUUCUAGAUGUUGGGAGUGGGCAGGGGGAUUUUGGUUGUUGUGUCCCAUGAUUGAGAUACCGUCAUCCUGUCUACUUUCAAGUGAGAUUAUAGACCACCCUUCUUUCCCUUUUACCUAUAAACUUUGAAAAGAAAGAGUGUCCAUGACAGGUCCCUCUGCACAAAUGGAACAUGAGUAGGUGAUAUGUGAGCCUGUUCAUACCCCAGGGGUUUUAUUCUUUAAUGCAGAGCCAAGCAAAGUAUGCUGGUAACCAUUAAAGACUAAAUACAACCCAGAAAAAGUGGGGUGGGGCUUAUUCUCAGCCUGAAAGGCAACAGGAACUGAUUGGACAAGUCUUGGGAAGAUAGCUGUUACACCCCACUGAUGGCAUUAAGCAACAAAAUCCAAGAAUGACUUUUGGCCCUGCCCUCUUAGUACCAUCCUCUGUUCUACAUCCUGCCAACCUGACCUUGGCUGUGGAAAGAGAUGUUUGAUUUUGAUUAAUUGAGGAAAACUGUGCAUCCAUUUGCUGUGUUUUGUUUUGUUUUUGUUUUUGUUUGUUUGUUUGUUUUCCUGGAACUGGGAACAUUUUCCCAUGCCCCCAGGAGCUCUCUCCUAGCUAUCUUGGUUGAAAUAGUCUUGACAGGAAUCUCCAGCUGGGCUAAUGAGUGACAGCUGGCUCUAUCACUGGGCAGCCCAACAACCAGCCUGCUUCUCUUGAGGCUUUAUCGCCACCUGGUGGACAAUAGUGGAGGCGCCUCCUCUGUGGUCCAUGCUCAGGUAGAAAGAACAUUGAAGAAGCAGAAGUCCGGUCUGGGAAUGCUAUAUGCUGUGGGCAACAUACAAUUAAGUUACUUGGAUCAUCUGAACAAGAUAAACGGUCAGGACUUAUUGGGUAAUGAAAUCCAAAGAGUAAUUCUCACUCUCCAUCUCCUAACACUUUUAUGUUAUGAUUCUUGCAGAGGAAAAGGAAAUCAGAAACAAAUAGGGGACAUUCCAGUCAUGUACUUUCAUUGUCCACACUGAAUUUUCAGGCUGGAAUACAUUUCUGAGGAAUGCUAGGUGGAAUACCUCCCUCGUGCUCUUUCCUCCUUCUCCACUCUCUGAUUUAUGGAACCAACAGCAAAGCUAAAAGCAUCCCCAGAAAUAACCUAAUCCUGGUCCCAUCAUACUAAAUGGGCUGCCAGAAGAGUCUGAGGAAGGAAAGUGGGUAACUUCCAUGGUUCAUAGGACCUAAAGACUUUUUCCAUCAUGCAGCCACAAAAACAUUGACUUGAAUGAUUCUAUUCCCUUUUCUAAUUUGUCCAUUGAAUUCCAUGGUUGGAAAGGAUUUUCACAGGCAAUCCAUGUUGAAUCUGCAGCUGUCCAGGGUUGUAUGACAGCCCAGCCUGCAGCUGAGGCCAGAUGGUAAGUUUCUAGUGCAGCCUCUGGGCAUGAAUUGCCAAAGUGCCAUCUGAGAAGGUCCAAGAGAAAUAAAUAUGGCCAGCUGCUGAGAGGGCUGGUCCUUGGAGCAGAGGCCACUAGCUGACCUUAUGUAAUGAGGCAGAUAUCUUCCCAGAAUGGGAGAAUGUCAUGUGCCUUGGGAUUCCUUUAACAGAACACAAAAUUUCAAAAAGAAUCAAACCUUAAUAUGCAAAUACCUCUGGGUAUAAGUGGUACACGGCAACUUAAAUUUUCUCUAAAAAAAAAAAUGAUUGAUAACAGUGGUUAACAACAAAUGUUAACUAACACUUAUUGAGCUUUUACUAUGUACCCAGUGCUUUUUAAAGAUUUUUAUGUGUGAAAUAUCCUUUAAAUCCUACAGCCACACAUUACAAGUGGAAAAAAAAAAAGGUAAGCACAGAAAUGUUCAGAAUCCAGAAGUGAUAAUGGAGUAUGUGUGUCUUACCACCUCACUCUAUGGCUUCUCCAUGCAACCUGAUGCUUUUACUUUGUCAAAAGUAGCUUCCACAGAGGGAAGAGUCUCCAGACCACAAAAUGAGACAGGGAGAACUAUGAAGGCAGAACAGGAGGAGGAGUUAAGGCUUUUCUAAGGUUAAUCUCACUUGUCAUUUCUCAGAGAGGCAGGUGAGCUGUGUUUUGGGCAAACUUUACAAUCUGCCUGCUUCCUUUAUUAGUCUCUGACAAACAACCAAGGAUUCCUGCUGUGUUCCUUUAUUAAAAGUAGAUCUCAAAUUAGCCACCUAGUCAACUCCCCAAAUGAUCACUUUGACUCUAUUUGUCAUUUUAAUUUUUAGUCUUCAUUUAGAUGAUUUUCCCCUGAGGUUCCAACCACCAGUUACAUUAUUUUUAUUCUUAUCACAGAUCUAUCAAGUAUUCUAGAGUAUUGGAUGUCACAGAGGAGAAAAAUAUCAUUUCCCAGAAAUGAAGUGUGAUGUUGAAGCUGCAUUUAAACACAUCAAGUGGAGAAUUAAGACAUCUGUCUUGAUUAGUUUGACUAAGUCAUGAUUUUCCUUGUGAUAUGCAAACUAAAUCAGCAGCUGAUUUGAAACUUGAAUCAUCUGAAUUCUUUGCUUCACCUUGCAUGGGGAGAUGUAGCUCUUCAGCAUUGAUUGACAGGCCGUUUAGUGAAUAUAUUAGGAUGGUUAAGAACAUGGGCUCUGGAGAUUGUGUGCUUCCUAAUAGUGGGUCCAUCUCUUCUUAGUUUGAGACCUUGGUAAAGUGAUUCUCUUGUGACUCAAUUUCCACAAUGUAAAAGGGGAUAAUUACAGUACAAGCUUUACAGAUUGCUAGGAAAUUCUUAUAAAGCUUAUAGAAUAAUAACUGGCACAUAUUUUUUGCUAAAUAAAGUUGGUUAUGAUUGUUUUGUAUCAUUCUGUGUAUAUAUUUAAAAACGUGCAUAUAUAAAUAAAAUAUAUACACACAAAAAAACCCUAUAUUUAGAC
rnacentral:lncRNA from 1 species